AUACGAGGGGUGCAAGCGUUAAUCGGAAUUACUGGGCGUAAAGCGUUCGUAGGCGGUUUGUUAAGCAAGAUGUAAAAGCCCUGGGCUCAACCUGGGAACUGCAUUUUGAACUGGCAAGCUAGAAUACUGUAGAGGGUGGUGGAAUUUCCAGUGUAGCGGUGAAAUGCGUAGAGAUUGGAAGGAACAUCAGUGGCGAAGGCGGCCACCUGGACAGAUAUUGACGCUGAGGAACGAAAGCGUGGGGAGCGAACAGGAUUAGAUACCCUAGUAGUCC
rnacentral:rRNA from 1 species